CACACACCAUUCCAGCAGGGGGCAGUACACCAUCUAUAUGUUAAAAUCCAAGUGGCCUCUGUGUAUGUAUAUGCAUGAGUGCGUGCGUGUGUGAUUUUAUUCAG